AACCCAUGGUUAGGGUACAUUCUCAAUAAAUCCUUAUACGUCUUUCAUGCAUCAUAUAAUGUUUCUAAAUCAAUCUGCAUAAAGGAAGAGAUGUCAUUCCUCAACUU
rfam:Gossypium hirsutum cultivar TM-1 chromosome 7, whole genome shotgun sequence